rnacentral:lncRNA from 1 species
CAGGCGUGAGCCACCACACCUGGCCUUCUUUUUACCCUUUUCAUUUUUUUUUCUCUUUUCCUUUUAGAAAGCAGGUUGUUAAACAUUUACCAGCUCACCACUGGCUGGAGGCCACAGCAUUUAUAGCGUCUCAGAAGGGUCUGGAGCUUAGAAAGUUUAAGAGCUUAGCAAGACUCCUCCUGUGUCUCAGGACCUGUGAUGGAUCUGAGCCUGUCUGACACCAAAGCCAAAGAAAUGCCUUCCUUCCCUCACGAGGCCAAGAGUUAGCGUCUCUUUCUACCCCAUCAUGACAACUUCCUGUCCAGGGCAAGAAACUGUCCUGAUUGUCCCUUGGGGGCAGGGAUUAAAGGUACUACAGGUUCAGAGCCCCUGGCUAGCGUGCCCUGCCCUCUGACCACGUAUGAUCAAUUCCAUAAAUAUUUACCCAGCGCCUCACUUAACCUCCCUGAGCCUGUUUCUUCAAAGCUGCAAAAUGGGGCCCUUCAGCCUGACUACUUUAAUUCAUCCAUCCACCCAUUCCUUCAGUUAGCGGCUCCCCUGUGCUGGGUGGUGUUUUUGAAGGAUACUGGAGUCGGGAUGCCUGCUUUGAGUCCUGGCUCUGGCACUGGCUUCCUCGGUACCAUGGGCCUCAGCGUUCCCAUCUGUACAAUGGCACCCACAUAAGGGUUCCUUCCAACUCCUUUCCCCAUCUCAGGGGGUUGUUGCGGGAUAUCGGGGCUGGGGAACCUUGGCUAGCUGAGGAACUAGGCUAGCUGACACACAAAGGACCAGCAACAGUUCACGCCCUGGAGACAGAACGCGCCCACGUGAUUCACACCGGCAGCAGCGGACUCUGUUUCUGUUGCCUUGAAUGAGGUGCGCUCUAGUCUUGCAGAGUUUAGAAAACAAGGAGGUGUGGAAUGUUCAGGGAAGACUUCCUGAUGAGGUAAUAAUAACACAGGAACAGCUAAUAUUUGAUGAGCACUUGCUGUGUGCCAGGGCUUGUGCUAAACACAUGCUUCAUCUUAUUUAAUCCUUGCAAAGAACUUGCCGGGUGGGAACGCAUGUGCUACCCGUUUUGUAAAUGAAGAACCUGAAGCCCAGAAGCCCAGAGAGUGGAAGUGAUUUGACCAAG